UAGGGAAUCUUCGGCAAUGGGGGCAACCCUGACCGAGCAACGCCGCGUGAGUGAAGAAGGUUUUCGGUUCGUAAAGCUCUGUUGUAAGAGAAGAACGUGUGUGAGAGUGGAAAGUUCACACAGUGACGGUAACUUACCAGAAAGGGACGGCUAACUAUGUGCCAGCAGCCGCGGUAAUACGUAGGUCCCGAGCGUUGUCCGGAUUUAUUGGGCGUAAAGCGAGCGCAGGCGGUUUAAUAAGUCUGAAGUUAAAGGCAGUGGCUUAACCAUUGUUCGCUUUGGAAACUGGUAAACUUGAGUGCAGAAGGGGAGAGUGGAAUUCCAUGUGUAGCGGUGAAAUGCGUAGAUAUAUGGAGGAACACCGGUGGCGAAAGCGGCUCUCUGGUCUGUAACCGACGCUGAGGCUCGAAAGCGUGGGGAGCAAACAGG
rnacentral:rRNA from 1 species